rnacentral:rRNA from 1 species
AGCGAACGCUGGCGGCAGGCUUAACACAUGCAAGUCGAGCGGGCCCUUCGGGGUCAGCGGCAGACGGGUGAGUAACACGUGGGAACGUACCCUUUGGUUCGGAAUAACGCUGGGAAACUAGCGCUAAUACCGGAUACGCCCUUUUGGGGAAAGGCUUGCUGCCGAAGGAUCGGCCCGCGUCUGAUUAGCUAGUUUGUGGGGUAAUGGCCUACCAAGGCGACGAUCAGUAGCUGGUCUGAGAGGAUGAUCAGCCACACUGGGACUGAGACACGGCCCAGACUCCUACGGGAGGCAGCAGUGGGGAAUAUUGGACAAUGGGCGCAAGCCUGAUCCAGCCAUGCCGCGUGAGUGAUGAAGGCCUUAGGGUUGUAAAGCUCUUUUGUCCGGGACGAUAAUGACGGUACCGGAAGAAUAAGCCCCGGCUAACUUCGUG